UCUGCCACGCUCCCCAGUACCACCAGAACUGUUAAUCAGCCUGCUCUGCAGUCUGCUGCAGAGUUUGCUUUAUUAAAGCUCCCUGCUGCCUGCACACGUUCACUGGCACAGACACCGAGAGACAAGCAAACCCUUACCCGAGAGCUGAGCGCUCGCUGCUGCAUUGCAGAGUUUGCUGCCACAAAGUGAUGGGGCUGAUCUAGGAUUUCUUAGUUCCCCUUGUAUUUUUCAGGAUAAAAUAUCGUGAAAUAGAGAACAUUCUUCCCUUGGCAUUUCUUCAGGACUCGGAUUUUGUAUUCCACAACCAGCCUGUGGAGCAAGAUGUGUGCUGUCAUCCUGCUCACUCUGAUGCAGCCCCUGCUCCAGUAAUCCCACAGGACCUCACAACAGCAGGAUAGAUUUUCAUCUGGAGUUCGGUGUCUUCAAAAUAAAUCUGAGAUAAAGUCAUCAACAGAAUGAGCAAAUGGAGCAUUGAGGAGUAAAUAUGAGGACCAGUGGGGGUUUGACUCUUCCUUGUCAUUAUAUCACCAAAAAGAACUAUUGUAACCAGCAAAAUUAAUUCAAGACUUCUUUUCCACCUAAACCACCAAUUCGGAGGGCGACUUUAAAUUCAUCUUUCAGAGCAGUAACUCACAAGUGGCAGCAGAUUCAGGAUGAAUUUAAAAUGCUGGUUUGAGAAACUUGAGCUCUAUGGCAGAAAAGUUGAGCUCCAAAAUGGUGAAGUGCCCAAAAUAUGGACUCUUAUGAUUUUAUUAAAUAAGACUGACAUUCUUUAGCAUGUGUUUAAAAUUCUCUGGAUCAAGGCUGCCAUGGAUGGGCAAUAUAGUAAACUACAGUUAUUUAGGUGACCUUUCUCCUCCUUAACCUUCUCCUCUUUUUGAGCACCUUGUAACUAACUGUGCCCAGUCUGGGAUCUGCCUUGUGGAUGACAGAGCUCCGAGAAACAGAAAGUGUAGGCACCGUGUGGAAAUCAACCAGAUUACCGAGCUCAGAUGAUUUAUAAAUGUUAGCUUUUGGUGUCCUUUUUAUAAAAAAUUGAAAGAAAAAAUAUAACAGAAAAAUUCCUUUAAAAACAACCGGAUCCUUUUGGAGCAUGACAAACAAAAAAUGUAGCAUUAAUUAAUCCCAUGAAAAUUUCCCUUUGGCAAUGCCUUCCUGUAAGUAAAACACAGUCCCCUAAAACUGCAUUCCAGAAGGAAAAGGUUCUCAGAUGGCCACUGAGAUAAUAUGAGAAAAUUAUUUUUGGACACAUUUGCAGCCGAAGCCCCUCAGAGGAGCUGCUUUGAUAACUGGACACUUCCAGUGUGGAAGGAGUAAAAAAAUCUGGUUUUCCCCAUGCCAGCCCCAGCCACUCUGAGCCUACACCCACCGCUAAACCUGGGCCCAUUUCUAGGCUGGUGUGAGAUGUUCCCACAGCUCUGCUGAGGGCUGUACUUCACUCUCUGCCUUCUGUAGGGAUGAACACAUCAGAAAGGGGGAAGUGAGCCCCGUGCAUCUCUCAAGGAUGAAUGGGACAUGGAGCUGAGGUGGAAAAGAUGAUAGAAACUGCUCAGAAAUCAAGAAGAGUUCUGCAUUUUAUGAACUUGAUUCAUGAAAUUACCCCCAGAUUUUAUUUUUUGCUCAAAAAGGGGCUUCUUCCUGACAAGAAAAUUAUCUGUUUGAAGUUUAAAUUACUUGGAGAUUAAAUUAAAAAUUAGAUUUCUGGAUUUUAAAAUUUCAUUUUAAUUAAAUGUUGCAGCCCUUUGGAAUUCAAAGAAACUGAAACUCUCCUAAGACAAAUGGCAGACACAAUAUUUGAAAUUUGAUUACAAUUUUCCCUUAAUUUUAUCCAAUUAUAUUAAGAGGUCUUUGAGCUACAAAGCAUUAAAAAGCACUACUGAGGCCAGAGACAUGCUAGUGAAAUAUUGUUUCUGUCAUGUGGAGCUUUGUACAGAAUUGUGUGGGCUUAAAUAAAUGUAUCUUGAUAGUUUACCUUAAAACUCUCUGUCCUUUUCCUCAGUUCAGCUGAAUCCUAUGAAAUAGAUACGCAGCUUGAAGAAGUUCUUCACACCCCCACAAACGCUAAAAAUGGCCCUGAUACAACAUGUAUUUAUGUAACAAAAUCAUCUGCAUUAAUAUCUUCCUUUCCUUUCUUCAAGAAGCACAGGAGGGACCCAGGCUGACACAUUUUCCUGCAGCCCCUUCCAGUUUUCUCCUUGCAUUUGGGGCAGCAGGGCUGAGCUGUGUUUUCCCUUAAAAAAAAGGCCACUGAAUAAACAAGAAUUUGAUGUGGCUAUUAAUAGGGUCAGCUGCAAACCUGCAGCCCAGGCUUUUGAUUCUCUCCCCUUGAAUAUUCAGUAUCCUGUUAUGGAUUGAAACUAUGUGAU